rnacentral:rRNA from 1 species
UACGUAGGUGGCAAGCGUUGCCCGGAAUUAUUGGGCGUAAAGCGUGCGCAGGCGGUCCUUUAAGUCUGAUGUGAAAGCCCACGGCUCAACCGUGGAGGGUCAUUGGAAACUGGGGGACUUGAGUACAGAAGAGAAGAGUGGAAUUCCACGUGUAGCGGUGAAAUGCGUAGAGAUGUGGAGGAACACCAGUGGCGAAGGCGACUCUUUGGUCUGUAACUGACGCUGAGGCGCGAAAGCGUGGGGAGCAAACAGG